rnacentral:rRNA from 1 species
UACGUAGGGGGCAAGCGUUGUCCGGAUUUAUUGGGCGUAAAGAGCGUGUAGGCGGCCAGACAGGUCCGUUGUGAAAACUCGAGGCUCAACCUCGAGACGCCGAUGGAAACCGUCUGGCUAGAGUCCGGAAGAGGAGAGUGGAAUUCCUGGUGUAGCGGUGAAAUGCGCAGAUAUCAGGAGGAACACCGAUGGCGAAGGCAGCUCGCUGGAACGGUACUGACGCUGAGGCGCGAAAGCGUGGGGAGCGAACAGG